rnacentral:lncRNA from 1 species
AAGCUUGAAUCGUAUAAGCUCACUGGUUCUGGGUCAUCACCCAGAGCUUAUUACAAACAGUAUAAAGGGAUCAGCAUCUCCCUCCCCUCAGUGUCCCCCAGAAACCUGAACAGAAUAAUGAGCAGUAAACAGGGGAGUAGCAGAGAGGCAGAAGAGGGGGUCUCCAACUCAAGGGCUGACAAAGAAGGGGGGUUCUCCACAAAGACUCAGUCAAGCUGUUGCAGUCACAUGGGCAGAGUUUUUUUCAAUAAACCAAUGAAAAGAGUUUUACAGCACAGCCUCGAGUCCUUGUUUUGGAUGCCAGUGGCAGCAACAUGAGUGAAUCUGCACAAGACAGAGUGCAGACGGCAGUGAGCCUCCACCUGAACGGCACCGCAGCUUUGGAACAGCAAGACGAGAACAUGGACUCCGACCUGUUUGAUAUCAAAGUGUUUAACGUUGUGAUGAUUACUUUGGCCUUUUGUAUACUUGCCAUCACUGGCUUGUACUGCAUUGCCGUCUGCCACAACCGUUCCAGACAGUCAAAAAGAGCACAAUUAUAUGAGAGCGCAAUGACCCGAGGCGAGCCGGAGAACCCCGUGGCAGUCAAAGCAGUGAAGAGAUCGACGAGUUUCAUCAACCCUCUCACCUUCUUCAGGAAACCAGAGGCACCAAAGGACAACUCCAGGAUCUAUUACAUCUACAGUAACCCGCUGCCCGUAGGAGGGAAGGACGAAGAUGAGGAGGGGGCCAGUAAACCCAGUGGGGUACCAGAGGCGCAACAGGUGCUGUCAUUGUCUCACUCGUUUCAAGAGUUCGCCAGUGAUCAAAGAAGUGGCGUCGUCCUGGACCCUCCAAUAUUUUACAUGCAGCUUUAG